rnacentral:rRNA from 1 species
GACGAACGCUGGCGGCGUGCCUAACACAUGCAAGUCGAACGGUGAAGCAGGAGCUUGCUCCUGUGGAUCAGUGGCGAACGGGUGAGUAACACGUGAGCAAUCUGCCCUGGACUCUGGGAUAAGCGUUGGAAACGACGUCUAAUACCGGAUACGAGGCGUGGGGGCAUCCCCAACGCCUGGAAAGAACUUCGGUCCAGGAUGAGCUCGCGGCCUAUCAGGUAGUUGGUGAGGUAACGGCUCACCAAGCCUACGACGGGUAGCCGGCCUGAGAGGGUGACCGGCCACACUGGGACUGAGACACGGCCCAGACUCCUACGGGAGGCAGCAGUGGGGAAUAUUGCACAAUGGGCGCAAGCCUGAUGCAGCAACGCCGCGUGAGGGACGACGGCCUUCGGGUUGUAAACCUCUUUUAGCAGGGAAGAAGCGAAAGUGACGGUACCUGCAGAAAAAGCACCGGCUAACUACGUGCCAGCAGCCGCAGUAAUAC